UGCCUGCAGCAGAUGAGGUGAUGUGGCUAGAUUGACCCCAGUCAUUGCCUGCAGCAGAUGAGGUGAUGUGGCCAGAUUGACCCCGUGCAUUGCCUGUAGCAGAUGAGGUGAUGUGGCCAGAGCUCAGUUCCCUUGACCCUUGACCCCAGUCAUUGCCUGCAGCAUUCUUUGGCAUUUUCUUUUCUUUUUUGCUGUUUAUUGUUGUGUUUGCAGUAACUGUACUGUAAUGAAACUGUAAUUCUAUUUGCCUUUUUUGUUUAUAGAAACGUUUGCUGUUGAAUAAAACUUUAAGCUGAUUAGCCUACUGAAGAAGUUUUAUUGUUUAUAGAAAUAUUUGCUGUUGAAUAAAACUUUAAGUUGAUUA